UGAUCGGGACCCCCGACGUUUGGAAGCAGU
rnacentral:sRNA from 1 species